rnacentral:rRNA from 1 species
GAUGAACGCUGGCGGCGUGCCUAAUACAUGCAAGUCGAGCGAACGGACGAGAAGCUUGCUUCUCUGAUGUUAGCGGCGGACGGGUGAGUAACACGUGGAUAACCUACCUAUAAGACUGGGAUAACUUCGGGAAACCGGAGCUAAUACCGGAUAAUAUUUUGAACCGCAUGGUUCAAAAGUGAAAGACGGUCUUGCUGUCACUUAUAGAUGGAUCCGCGCUGCAUUAGCUAGUUGGUAAGGUAACGGCUUACCAAGGCAACGAGGCAUAGCCGACCUGAGAGGGUGAUCGGCCACACGGGAACUGAGACACGGUACAGACUCCUAGGGGAGGCGGCAGUAGGGAAUCUUCCGGGAAGGGGGAAAGCCUAACGGAGCAACGCCGCGUGAGUGAUGAAGGUCUUCGGAUCGUAAAACGCUGUUAUUAGGGAAGAACAUAUGUGUAAGUAACUGUGCACAUCUUGACGGUACCUAGUCAGAAAGCCACGGCUAACUACGUG